GGAAAAUGAUAUAAUAGGAUUAUAAACUAAAACAUUCAGCAGUGAAACUGAUUAAUGUAGUUCAGUGCUGCAUUCUUAUAACACGGAUUUAUGUAACACGGUUUUGCGUCUAUAUUAGAUACUUUGGAUUACAAAUAUGUUGCUUUACAUCUACAUUGCACAUAUUAUUCAACAGUGAUAAAUUUAUCAAUUUUAUUCAAUCAUUAUGAAGAAUCAAGUGAAUCAACGACCGAUGCUUCACUCGUUUACGUUAUAAAACUUCGUUGCCGUCUCGAAGAACGUUCCCAGCGUCGAAAAGGUUUUUGAAACAAAUAUCGCAGCUUCAUGGCUUGUCGACACAGUUUUCUCCAUGCUUUCUUGCCGAAUUCAUGAACAAGAGAGCUCAACAAUGUGGAGUUAAUUAUUUGUUAAAAAACAAGAAACAAUAUAGCAAGCCGCAGAACUGAUGAACACGCGAAUACAAAGUAAUGUUAGAUCGUCGCCGUAGUGUGAACUUGAAGGAAAGAAAAAAAUUAAAAAAAAAAGGGUCAUGAGAACUUACUUUGGCUGUGCGCUCGAACUUUGGGCCGAAUUAAAUCAAACUCGGCAAAUCGUGUACGUGUACGACGACUAUCUGGAUAAAAUUGCUAUGAUACAAAAAUAACAAAAUUUGGAUUUAUUAUGAACUGACCAUACUGAGCCGUCAUAAUAUUAGCCAAAGAAGAAACGAACCGAAGAAUGAGAACAGGGGAGAAAUAAGACAAACCAAGGGGAGAUUCGUUUUCCUUGCUUCCGCGGCUGCGAAAGACCGAUUGCUACUUCGAUUCGUCGCAUAAUUAAGCGUUUAGAAGACUCUAAAGAGGACCAAAGUACUUAAACGUAACUACGCCGAAGCCGUGGCGCUCUUAAACGCAGCGAUAAAACGUAAUUAAUGUCGCCCUUCGCGAUGACACUUGUUGUUAAUAAGCAAAGGAGUAUCAAUGCGGGAAGAAAUUAGCGUGAAAAAGUAAAAAGGAGAAAGGAAAUAAGCGUAAGGGUGCUGAUUGUUAAAAUUACGUAAGUUCGAAAACACGGUAAAAAAGAACAACGAAACCAACGUGACAAAUGUUCGCGUAACUAUAAUUAAUUAACUUACUAGACCGAAUGUGCACGAGAUAUACUAUAUGUAUGUGUAUAUGUACGUAUAUGUUAGUCGAAUUUUCGCUACACCGAAACUUUUCGCAAGAACGAUCGCCUCUAAUUAAUCUCGAAGCAUAAAAGAUGUUUUUGUAAAAGAACGUAGAUCGAG